CAGGUCCAUGAGGGCAUGCAGGAGUGGUCAGGAGUGUUCAGGACCACAAGGGCAUGCAGGAGUGGUCAGGAGUGUUCAGGACCACAAGGGCAUGCAGGUAGUGGUCAGGUCCAGUCAGGUCCAUGAGGGCAUGCACGAAUGGUCAGGAGUGUUCAGGACCACAAGGGCAUGCAGGAGUGGUCAGGUCCAGUCAGGUCCAUGAGGGCAUGCAGGAGUGGUCAGGAGUGUUCAGGACCACAAGGGCAUGCAGGAG
rnacentral:lncRNA from 1 species